GACAGAAAAGGGGGGAAAGGGAUGAGGAGGGUUUUAAACAUUGGCUGCCACCUUAAUUGCAGCCUAGCAAUGAAUAGCUGCAGGCUUUCUUGGACAGCUCCUCCGUGAAUGUCACACACAAAUCCAUCUGACACCUGGGGUCAGAAGUAUUCUUCCAUGCUUUUUGUUAAGUCAUCUUUCCCUCUCUAGUGCCAAAGGGUCUGGCUAAAUUGAAUUGCAUUUAAAUGAGGUGAACGUGUGAUGGAUCAUCCGAGUGCUGCUGUUUCCCUCCAAGUUUUGUGACAAAUCUCUCUAAUGCAAACACCGUGUCUCAUACCUUGAACUCACUGCUGCAAUUAAAUGCUGAUCCUUUAAUCCUUGUCUGGAAAAACAAUAUAGUAAUAGCAGUCCUGCAUGUUUGCACAGGAAAGGAGAGGUGUGCACGCAGCAGAUGCUGCCAAGAGCUCUGGUAAUUCAGUUUGCAGGGGUCACAGUCACAUUGGAGACACCAGCAGUGACAUUAGCACGUCCAGACCUUCAGUGCAAGCUCUCCAGGAAUUAGAGCAUGUACUGUGAUGCCUUCGCUGCUGUGUCAGCUGAGCUGUGACACCACCACAGCUUUUAUCAGCUUAUUGUACAAACUAAAUGCAAAUACAAUGAGCCAGAGAAGGGUGGGUGCUGACCAAUCACUGAAUUCCCCCUAAAACUGGGUUUUGUCUGAAUGAUCAGCAAGAUAUAAUGACUGACACUGGAAUGAGUCUGCAGGGCACACAGCUCGGUGAUUAGUCAGUUCUCAUUACCUCUUCCUCCAAUUAACGUCAGCAAAUCAGUGCUCUUGAAUCAACGAGGACCUCAGGAGAAACUAAGCUUCCCCAAAAUGCUGCCAGAUGUCAGCAGAAGCUCCAAUCCCCUCGCCUUGAUGGUUCAGUACUUUUUACACACAUAAUUAACUGUUAGCACCGUCCUGUUUCUGUCACUCCAGCCCUUCACCCGUGGUGUGCUGAUAAAUGCUGUUAGUUUUGCUGUGAUGGAGGAGUCUGUGCCCAGCUCUGCUGCCUCAUGCUCCUGCACUUCAUCUCAUUUCCAUGCUCAUCCCAGCCAAGCAGGAACCCAGCCUGAGAUCCCUUUUGCUACAGCUUCGUCACCCCAUUUGGAUCUUUCUCCUUGUUGUCUUUGCAGUUUCCCUUCAGCAGGUGACGGCAUUUGGCUUUCAUGGUCAGUCUCUGGAAGUGGAAUAUGAGUUAAUUUUCCCCAUUCUAUCCAAAAUACUGUAGGGAAUAUUUUUAUAUAUUUUUGGUAUCUGCAGGUUGUGGAGGAAGCUCACUUGUCACAGUGCCCUUCAUUACAAAGGUGUUAUUUUUUUCCUCUUUUUUUUCCCUCUGACUUGUCAGGAAUAAUUAAAUGCUGUGGUUGUUUUGGCCUCCCUUCAAUGGGCAUUUACCCAACUCAUAAAUACAAGAGUAGCUCCCCUGAACUCUGUUUCACUCAGGUAGAGUUGUGAAGGUUUGCUCAGCGAUGCUCUGAGGAAAAUGAGGAACCCAGAUGGGCUUGUGUUUGGGAGGAUCCCAAGUUGGUUGCUCUCUAAAACCCAAAUAGUGUUGCUCUGCUCAAUUAAGAAUUGCUUAUUAAUGUUUAAAAUACAUUCAUCCCCAGGUAUUUUCACGGUCCUUUUUGCUCCCAAAUUGGCAAGGCCAGUGCUGCUGUCCAAAAUAAAUGAAGUGUGUGAAGACAGUUUAAAGGCAUUGAGGAAUUUCAGACUUUUUGCAUCUCACUCGCUUUCACCUAAUUUGUUAAUGGGUGUGAACUAAAACAGAAGCUUGCAGAAGGAUGCACGGUGAGUUUGUGACAUUGCUGGGAAUGUUUGGAUCUCCUGGGGCACCAGAGAACAGGAUGUCUCCUCAGACCUAAGGAUUUGUGAAUGUUUCCAAGUCUCCAACCACCCUUGGGACACAGGUGUGUGUCACCACCAGGAGUGGCAAACUGGGGACCUUGGUGUGACAUCGCUCUAGACAGACGGACGCAUCCCUUGUGAAGCUUUAGACAAAAUACUUUCAUAUGAAGCUACUCUGUGCUGGCAAGAGCAGCUGGGAUGGUUCCUGUGCUCUUUGAUUUAUCCAGACAGGCUACCAGGGUGUUUGCUGCACGUUUCCUUAGAAGUUUGUCACAGCCUGACACACGCUGUUCCCGUGAUGCCUCGCACAGCUCAAUCAGUGUCCUUCCCUGGCUGGAGGAAAACGUGCUGAGCCAGCCUUGCAAGCUGCUCCAGCCAUGGGACACCUGAUCCUCAGGCUGAAAGAGCACGAGGUGAACGACAGGUGCUGAGGAGGGACACGUUGUGUUGGUGUUGCAAAGGUUUUUCUUUGCAAAGGGAAACAUCUCCAUUCCAUAGGUAUUGAUGAAGAAGAGUAUUAAUUAAAACCUGCCCUAGAUUAAUGUAGAACAGCAUAAAUAACGAGCGGGUGCUGUGAAUGAUGAACGGGAGAAAAGGAUUUGGACUGUCACCGUUCCACCACACAGGGAGUGUUUUACAGGAGACAAAGGUGUUUACUGUGUCAUUUCUGCAUUUGCUUUAUAUAACAAUAACCAUUAUGUGCCCGCUCUUAAAAAAUCAUCUUCUGCUAAGAUGCUACCAAGAAAGAAGACGACAAUUUGGAACUUGCCUUGAAAUAGCACUCUUAUGGGAAUUCAAAGCGUGGUUAUUAUUGUGCUGCUUGGAAAGCUGCUUUUCUGUCCAGCUUCCCUGUGAUCCCUUUAGCUCUAUCCGAUACCAAAGGCUUGAGAUCUCCAGAUUAGAAAUUAAAUUCCACCUCUGUGGCCCAGACCUGAUGACCUGCUGGAGUCACAGCAAAUAGGUUUUACUUUACAGUGAGUGCUUCCAGCUAAAGCUGUUGCUUUUUGGACAAAGUCAAACUUAUUUGGAAAAAGAUAAUUAAAGGCAUGCAAUGCAGGUGUAGGAAUAAUAAUUGACUUGAAAUUGAGUAGGGAUUAUCCAGAGUGAUGGCAGGCCCUGAUCUUGCAGGGAUUUAGGUGCUUGUUUUGUUCUGCUGGCAUGUGUGAGUACACAGGACAGUCGGGUGGGCUCUGUCCUGGGGGAUUUAGGGGAGGCUGUGGCAUGGCCAGGAGUUGUGCAGCUGGGACAGCUGGGUGGGAUGCAGCACUUAGAGCAUCAGGCAGCAAUUCCUGCUGCUGAGCUGGGUAUAAACCACAGCAUUUCAGGGGUGGACAGGUGUGCUUUGGGUGUCUGGUACAGGAACAGCAGCCUGGGGAGGGCAGGAGAGGGAUUUUCCCAUUGAGAUUUCUGUUUUAUUUUGCAAAUGUAAAAACUGGCAGUGAGUGGUGUCAGGCCUGUGUUGGGAGGUGGGGACUGAAGAGCCUCAAGGGAAACUGGCAGAAAUCAUGAUUUAAGUGUGAUCACUGUGAAGUUGUCAGUCACUGAGAUGGGCACUCAGCUAUCUGGGGGCCUCUAAUUGUGCUGCUCAUAGUUGGUCAUAUUUUGAAUGUGAUAAGAUUGAACAAUACAGUUUUAAACCAAAUUUUGGACUUUUCUGUGCUCUGUUAAAAUGAUGAAAUCUAGAAAUGGAAAGUGAAUGUAGUUUAUAAAUAUUU